rnacentral:lncRNA from 1 species
AUAGAAACAUGGAUUACGAAAAAUAUGCAGGGGCGAUAUCAGAGAGUGAAGAGAACUUGCUUCUUGCAAGACACUUUCAGUGAAAACUAUUUGAUAUGAAGACAAAUCAUAUGAAGACAAUCUUGUUUUAUUUUAUUUUUUUUUUUUUUGAAAUUUAAAACAUGAGGCAUUUGCCUCAUUUGCCUCAAUGUAGUUACGGCCCUG